CACGGAGGGUGCAAGCGUUAAUCGGAAUCACUGGGCGUAAAGCGCACGUAGGCGGUCUUGUAAGUCAGACGUGAAAGCCCUCGGCUCAACCGGGGAACUGCGUUUGAUACUGCUCGACUUGAGUAUCGGAGAGGGUGGCGGAAUUCCAGGUGUAGGAGUGAAAUCCGUAGAUAUCUGGAGGAACACCGGCGGCGAAGGCGGCCACCUGGACGAAUACUGACGCUGAGGUGCGAAAGCGUGGGGAUCAAACAGG
rnacentral:rRNA from 1 species